rnacentral:pre_miRNA from 1 species
UUUCAAGAUUCAAGAUCAAACGAUGAAGGGAGCAUCUGUCGACAGUUUGAAUUUAAAUACUGUCAUGGAGUUGCUCUCUUUACCGGGUUGGUCAAAUUCAC